AGAUGUGUGAGGAUGAUCUGGCUGCGACAUCUGUCACCCUAUUGAUCACCAGGGAUGAUUCGGCUGAUCUGGCUGGCUAGGUGGGUGUACCCUUCCCCCCUCACUGCUCCACAUGCGUCUCUCCCGAAGCUGCAUGCUUGGUCGAAGACGACAACCUUCCCCACUAGAGGAGGACCGGUCUUCAGUCAAUGGUAUACAAGUAGCUGCGCUCCCCUGCUAGAACCUCCAAACAAGCUCUCGAACUGUUUUUUAUUCCCCCAACAAGGUAGGGAACAGUAACCGAUAACCUUUGAUGCUUGGUCAGAGCUAUGGACAGGU
rnacentral:snRNA from 1 species